AGAGACAGGAUUUCUGUAAGGUGCAAGAUCAUGCAGGCAGCUUGCCCUGACGUUGCCCAGGUACCACAGUGUGCAUGGAGCAGCGGAAGGCAGAGCUUUGCUCUCUGUAUCCUGCUCUCCAGGAGUUGCUGGCUGGGAACAUAUACUGUGAGGAGGACAUGUACUGUGUCUAACACACAAAGCCCUGCAGUGAAUCCCCACUGAGCUGGAGGUGCACAGAAAUGCUGGCGAUGCUUCCUGUUGUUAGAAAUAUGUUCAUCUUUAGAUGACCGCAACAACUGUGUUUGUAUUUAAAACACUGCCUUGCCCCAAAUAAUCCAAGUGCUGUAAACUGCCCUUGGAACAGAUGAGAUGAAAUUCUAUAGCAGUGCAGGUUUUAGAGUCUGUCUUUUGUGUGUGUGUGUAUGUAAACUUACUAGUGACCUUAUUGUGUGUGGUAGGUAGCCAGUAGCCACUUCAGUUAGCAUUCAGUGCUGUAAUUAACUAUAAAUAGCCUUGCCAAGAUCAAUAAUUCACAUAUUGAUCUUUUACAUUCAUUAUUUUCUAUAUCUGAAGAAUGCCUAGUGUGUAGAAUUAUCUAGCAAAUCGUUUGGAUGGCAUCCUGUGAGAUCACUGUCUACUUCCCAAAAGGUGAGGGAGGGAUACAUCAUGAUACAGCUGUUGGGGGAGUUGCUUGUCACCCCCUUUGUCCAUGGCUGACCAGACCCUGCAGCAGCAUGCUACCCUCACCACUAUUGAUUGUAGCUAGUGCUGUGCUCUCUUUGAGUACCCACUGAGCUGUAUAAAUCUCCAGGGCUGACCUAUGCUGUUCUCUGCUUAAAGGCUUUGGCUAUGACCAGAUAUGUCUUUCUGAGAGCUUUGUUUGCUGGUCAGUGUGGGAGAUGUGGAGGUGCAGGGUAACAGCAUCUGCCACCCUGAGUGCAUGAAUGUUUGGAUGAAGGACAAAAGGCAGGUGGCAAAUUAGGACAUGAACUUCUCUCUGCGGCACCCACAGCCAGUUCCCUGUGUGGCCAAGAGACACAGCCAAUCACUGGGAUUUGGUACCUCCCCCUCAUCCUCUCUUGCACCCACCCACAGUCUGUCUGUCCCUUCUGCACACCCUUUCUAACAUCCUCAGUGACAUUAAGUGUAGAAACAUCAAAACAUGCUGUUGAAAGUCCUGUGAGGAAGACCCACAGUGACAGAGCUGGAGCAGGAUGGGGGGUGGUGUGUGGUGCAUCUGGCUCCAGGCUGCUCCAGCACCAGGACCCCAGCUACAGACCUGGGCCAUCUAAAGGCACCCCUACCAGAUCUGAAUUUUAUCUUUCUCAUUUCUUGCUUGAUGAAGGAAAGCAGCUUCCACACUGAUGUUGCCAUGCCAGCUAAUGCUGUGCACAUUCACCAGCUAAGGACAUGGCUGUCUUCUGCUCAUUCCUCAGCACCAGGAAAACCAAUCUCCCCAGGACCCUUCCUUCUUCAAGCUCAAACCAGGAAACUAGUGGUUAAGAAAAAAUAAAUAUGAAACUCGGAAAUAUGUUAAGUGAAAGAAAAAACAGCUGAAGAGCAGCUAAACUCCAACUGCAGCAAGUCUGUAUUCCUUGUCCCAACUUCCUUCCAAACACCUUUGGAAAUAUGCCUAUUUCAUGCAAGCCGGAUUUGUAUUUCAGGGAAUGCAUGUGCACUACUACUACGCUAUAAAUAAGUCUGUUGUAACAGGUCCACAGGCUGAGCUCAUCCAACUCCUCUGAACCCUCCUACCCGUGCUUCUUUGGAUAUGCCUUUGGAUUUGCACUGACAAAUUCAACGAGGAGCCUGACCAAAGCAAAACUCAUCUGCCCUAUGUCUCAAAAACAGAACAUUGAGGCACUGCAGCCCUCCACAUUGCACCAUCUGGACUGCAGACGCUGAUUCACUUUGUUGGAAGUAAGAGAUACUCUUGCUGUUACAGGCAGAACCCUCUUGGUCUUCUCUGAGUGCAUCUGUCAGCUGACAUUUCUGCUCCUGUAUUCCUCUCUGGUGGAACUUCAUACUCCAUCUAGUAAAACCGACUUCCUGCUUGGCACAACUGUGAUUUUCUAACUGUGGUAUUGUAAUAGGCGCAGUGGGGCUCUGCACCUGAAAGUCUUCCUUUCCUAGAGAAUUUCAAAAGUGUGGAGAGUGAUUUAAAAACACCUGAAUCACAGUCAAAACAAAGUUCAUAGUUAUACUUCUCUCACCUAAACCUUCAUCUUUCCACACAUGAAAGUCUCAUAAGAGAGUCAGACCUGCUAGCUCAGAGGUCAGAAACAGUGCUCUGCUCUGCAGUGUUUUCUCCUUUCCCAUUGUGCAUCCUCAGGGACUACUGAUUGCUCUGGUAUUUAUUCCCAACUUGGUAAUGUAUUUUAUCCUUUCCUGUUCCUUUGCUCUCUGUUAGACUGUUGAUUUUUCUUAGUUAAAGUUUGGUGCCAAAACUUAAUUCAGAUAUUUAUGUGAAGGUUUUCAGUAUCGUCAUGUUCCAGGUAUUCAGCAUUUGGGCAGGCUGACAGACACUGUGAGCUGGUGUCUGUCAGGCACCCAGGCUAGACACUGCCUUGCGUCAUGCCUUCAAGGAAUUUGAAAGAGCAUGAACAUCAGCACUUCCUCAGUUCCCAGACUAUAUGGAUUUUCUUCUUCCCCAGGAGAUGGUGGGCAAUGCCGAUCUCUUCACUUAUGCUGAGUACUGAAUGAAAAGCAUUUCAUCAACAUUAGGUUGACCGACUUUUCUCUGCAUCAUUGUACUACACAGCAGACGGUAUUUGGUACUGAAGCAUUAAGGAUCCCCAGCAGCUUAUUUAUGAGGCAAACCACAUAUACAGUUUCAAUACAUUUGUAUCUCCAAAUUUGCUGUCAUAAGGUAACUGGAAAGCUUCACAGACAUGAAAAUUUGUCAAGUAAGUGACUGAACUUCUUCAUAAGCCAAUAAUACAGAAUUAUAUGGCACUAAAAGUUUUCCAGUAUCCUUUUGUCAUCCCUAACUCAUGAACAACAAAUACUUUUGUCACAAAGUAACACAUUUCUGUUAAGGUCCUUAAUAGGAUGCCAUAAAAGAUCUCUCUUCCUACCCCUAAGUAAUAGCCAUAGUAUCAGACAAAUAUUAAGGCUUGCUUAUUAAUUCAGGGCCUGGAUCUAGUGUAUGCCUGUGCAUGAGCUACUGGUAAAAGGUCAUGUUCUUAUUUCAAGUUGUUUUGAGGCUGUUCAGUGAUUUAAGGAUGGCUUUUAGUAUUUUUAAAUGAAUAAAUAAUAAAUACAUGUGUGACAAAAAUUUAGGCUCCAAAAUAGAUGACUCCUGUAUGUUAGAGAAGUGGGGUUCUACAACAAUCUUCCAAUCAGAUUGGGGACAAAAAUAGGAAUGUUAGCAUGGAGGUUCCUCAUCUGAUGAAAGGGAUUGUGUGAUGUGGUUGCUUGUGAUAUCCUGGGACUCAAGAGAUCCCUUCUAAUCUUAUGCUAAGUGAACAGUAAAAGGAAAAAAUGCCUUUGACUGCUAUUAACCAUCAUAGCUAGAACCUUAUUCAGGAGUUUCUUUUAUUCAGAAAGAUGUGGGGAUAGGCUUUGAAAUGUCAAUGUAAAAAAUCCAGGUUUCAUGUAACACAACCCAAAGUGCAGGAGCCUAGUCACAUCUGGGGAGAAUUGUCCUGGAAGAGGUGAACAAAACACAAAUACACUUGGUUUCCUUGAGGAACUCCUUGGCACACAGGUGAACAAAGUUCCGAGGGUCUGUGCCAGGGCUUUUAGGCAAAAAUAAGUGGCCUUGCAGUCACAGAUCUGAGGGAAGUCUGUGCCUGGGAGCAGAGGGAGAAGCAGCACAGGUGGUAUGGUUAAGUUGCUCAGCCUUCAGCCCCUGUCUCCCCACCAGAACCUCGGGAAGCUGACUGCAAGCAGAGCAGGAGAGCCCAGGAGGCCCCCAUGCACACCACCAUUUGCCAGCCUAAUGGGGAUUUUCCUUAUAUGUGGUUUUUGACAGGACUCUUUUCCUCAUCUGUGUAUCAAUACUGACCAUUUGACAUUAAAUCUAUGAAAGCCUUAAGAGUGAAAUACAAGUGUUUCCUAGACCUUAUGGAAGUAGCGGUAGCACAGGGACUGCCUCUUCCAUCCAUCCUAACAUCAGUAUUAUACAAAUAAGCAUUGGCAUGGUGUAUUUUUAAACAAUAUUGAAAAGUUUCAGAACUUUUGAUGACUUAAGUAGUCAGUUGUUAUUUCAAGUUCUACAGAAAAAAUAAACUUCUUGGUCUUUGAAAUUAUUU